GGGUUGUGAGGUUAAGCGACUAAGCGUACACGGUGGAUGCCCUGGCAGUCAGAGGCGAUGAAGGACGUGCUAAUCUGCGAUAAGCGCCGGUAAGGUGAUAUGAACCGUUAUAACCGGCGAUUUCCGAAUGGGGAAACCCAGUGUGACUCGUCACACUAUCAUUAACUGAAUCCAUAGGUUAAUGAGGCGAACCGGGGGAACUGAAACAUCUAAGUACCCCGAGGAAAAGAAAUCAACCGAGAUUCCCCCAGUAGCGGCGAGCGAACGGGGAGGAGCCCAGAGCCUGAAUCAGCAUAUGUGUUAGUGGAAGCGUCUGGAAAGGCGCGCGAUACAGGGUGACAGCCCCGUACACAAAAGCGCAUGUGCUGUGAGCUCGAUGAGUAGGGCGGGACACGUGGUAUCCUGUCUGAAUAUGGGGGGACC
rnacentral:rRNA from 1 species